CCAUGAAUCACCUGGGGGUAUUAUUAAAAUGCAGGUUCUGAUUAAGAAGUUCUGGGUAGGGUAGGAGAUUCUGCAAUUUUAACAAACUCCUAGGUGAUGCCAAU
rnacentral:pre_miRNA from 1 species